rnacentral:rRNA from 1 species
AUUGAACGCUGGCGGAAUGCUUUACACAUGCAAGUCGAACGGCAGCACGGACUUCGGUCUGGUGGCGAGUGGCGAACGGGUGAGUAAUGUAUCGGAACGUGCCCAGUCGUGGGGGAUAACGUAGUGAAAAUUACGCUAAUACCGCAUACGAUCUAUGGAUGAAAGCGGGGGAUCGCAAGACCUCGCGCGAUUGGAGCGGCAGAUAUCAGAUUAGGUAAGUGGUGGGGUAAAGGCCCACCAAGCCAACGAUCUGUAGCUGGUCUGAGAGGACGACCAGCCACACUGGAACUGAGACACGGUCCAGACUCCUACGGGAGGCAGCAGUGGGGAAUUUUGGACAAUGGGCGAAAGCCUGAUCCAGCCAUUCCGCGUGCAGGAUGAAGGCCCUCGGGUUGUAAACUGCUUUUGUACAGAACGAAAAGGUUUCUACUAAUACUAGGAGCUCAUGACGGUACUGUAAGAAUAAGCACCGGCUAACUACGUGCCAGCCGCCGCCGUAA